GGCCCCGGAGAGUGGACACCACUGAGCCUCAUUGUCCCGGAGUGAAGUUAGUUAGGGGUGGAAGGCUGGAAAAUGAGCAGGUGUCUGCCAGUGAAGGCCCGAGUUCCUACUGGUUAAUGUGGUGUUCUCUCAGUGAGCAAUAGAAAACUACAGAAGAAACGAGACACUGACAAUGUCGGACCUGGGGUCAGAUCACCACAGUUCCAGCAGCAGGUGAAUGGUACUGACCGGUUCCUCUAGAGACGUGGGAAGGGGCUUCCAUUCAAAGAGACCGAACAGGACCUGUCCAAGCUUCCAGCUACACCAGGCAGCGUUUAACCCCAAGGCUCACACUCAGAGCAAAGAGUGGGGAAGCACAGUUAGGCAUGGCGAACGAGGCUCUCCAGAGACAUCACAGGGCUCUUAGUCAUCUAUAAUUCUGACCAGCUGUUCUAAGUGCACCGUUUCAUGUCAUAUAAGGUUGCAGGGGCUUAAUGGGUCAUUUCUGCAAAAAACCAAAACCAAACCAAACCAACAGAAACAAA
rnacentral:lncRNA from 1 species